UCUAAGCACAUGCCUUAAUACGGUGAAGCCGCGAAUAGCUCAUUACAACAGCCACCGUUUACUAGAAUAUAGUUAUCCUACUUGGAUAACUGUGGCAAUUCUAGAGCUUAUACAUGCAAGAAAGCUCCGCCCGCAAGGAACGAGCGCAUUUAUUAGAAUAAAAACCAAUCGGGUUUCGGCCCGUAAUUUGGUGAAUCUGAAUAACUUUGCCAAUCGCACAGUCCUAGUACUGGCGAUGUAUCUUUCAAGUGUCUGCCUUAUCAACUUUCGAUGGUAGGUUAUACGCCUACCAUGGUAGUAACGGGUAACGGAGAAUAAGGGUUCGACUCCGGAGAGGGAGCCUGAGAAACGGCUACCACAUCCAAGGAAGGCAGCAGGCGCGCAAAUUACCCACUU
rnacentral:rRNA from 1 species